rnacentral:lncRNA from 1 species
AUGCCUCUCAUCCAAUUUUAUGUAAAUUCAUUAAAUGUGGUUUGUUUUUAUUAAGCUUUGAUGUUGGUAUGAAGAGGCUGGUUUUAGUGAUGCAUGAGCAAACAUGAAACUCUGCUCAAUGAAAUAUUAUAAAUUAUUUAUGACAUUUGAAUUCAGUAUUUUUCUUCUCAAUUAAGUAAUCUACAGGAUUAAAAUUUGCUUACCUCGACUCUGGGUAAGCUAUUGUAGAGGUGUGCUAUGUUUGCGGUCACUGGGUUCAUUUGGAAAGAAGGAAAGCUCCUCUUGAUUUUUGGUUUCUGGAUCUGGAUAUUCUCAUUCAUUUACUAGAGGUCCCUGUAUCUUUUAUAGAUUUCUUUCAUUGAUGUUUUGAAUUCAGUAUUUUUCUUCUCAAUUAAGUAAUCUACAGGAUUAAAAUUUGCUUACCUCGACUCUGGGUAAGCUAUUGUAGAGGUGUGCUAUGUUUGCGGUCACUGGGUUCAUUUGGAAAGAAGGAAAGCUCCUCUUGAUUUUUGGUUUCUGGAUCUGGAUAUUCUCAUUCAUUUACUAGAGGUCCCUGUAUCUUUUAUAGAUUUCUUUCAUUGAUGCGCAGCGAAGCAAGACGUCUUCCUUUUUUUUUUUGUGAUUGUUGCGGCAUAAAUUCAUUUGCUCAUAUUAUUCAAGGAGUAUAUUUUCUUUUUCACACUAAGGUGCACACCCAGAGGGUGUUGAAAAAUAUAUUUUCUGGAAAUAUACCGUGUUCCUUAUGCAUAGAGAAUUUUGAUUUGUUAAAUGGAAAAAUGCGGUCCAGAUGAAUAUGGCGUCAAAUCACAUAAAUUUCACUCCUUGUUUGGACUGGGGAAUGUAAAAUUUUCUUUGCACAUAUCCUAUGCAUGGGAGACCCAGUUUCCCGUGGGCCUUUCAUUGACCUCUUCUAAAUAAAGAAUAGUUAAAUUGUUGCUCAUUUUUCCCUUUCAAUUGCUUGUGAAGAC